rnacentral:rRNA from 1 species
GACGAACGCUGGCGGCGUGCUUAACACAUGCAAGUCGAACGGCAACGCCGUGAUUUCUUGCGCUUCUCGAGUGCGGAACGGGUGAGGAACACGUGAGUAACGUACCCUUCUCUUUGGGGUAACUUAAGGAAACGAAAGCUAAUCCAAGACAGGAGCUCACGCUCCAGGGUGGGCGGGGGAUAGUUUCGCCGUGUGGGGAUGGAUGCGCGGCUUAUCAACUCGCUGGUUGGCUGGUGGCUUACCCAAGCUUUGACCGGUAGGCGGCCUGUGAGGGUGACCGGCCACCUUGGGACUGAGGUACGGCACAGACUCGUACGGGAGGCAGCAGGGGGGAGUCUUGCCCAAUGGGACGAAGCCUGAUGCAGCGACGCCGCGGGCGGAAUGACGUCCUGCGGGUAGUGAACCGCAGCCGCCUGUGACGAAGCGGGAGUGACGGUAACGGGUGAAUAAGCACCGGCUAACUACGUG